rnacentral:rRNA from 1 species
AAAUGAAUAGACGGGGGCCCGCACAAGCGGCGGAGCGUGCGGUUUAAUUCGACGCAACGCGCAAAACCUUACCGAGGCUUGACAUGUGGCUGCAGACCGGGGAAACCCGGGGGCCUUCGAGGGUGCCACACAGGUGCUGCAUGGCUGUCGUCAGCUCGUGCCGUGAGGUGUUGGGUUAAGUCCCGCAACGAGCGCAACCCCCGCGUCUAGUUGAAUUGAUCUAGACGGACUGCCGGCCGCAAACCGGAGGAAGGUGGGGAUGAUGUCAAGUCAGCAUGGCCCUUACGCCUCGGGCCACACGCACGCUACAAUGGCCGGGACAAUGGGUAGCCAAGCCGCGAGGCGGAGCGAAUCCCCCAAACCCGGUCUCAGUUCGGAUCGCGGGCUGCAACUCGCCCGCGUGAAGUCGGAGUCGCUAGUAACCGCAGGUCAGCACUACUGCGGUGAAUAUGUUCCCGGGCCUUGUACACACCGCCCGU